UUGAAAGGUUUAAGGAAGAGAAAUGGCUUGAAACUUAAAGAGAAGAAAGGCGUUCAUCACUACAAAAGCCCUAGGGGUGACCGGCAGCUGCCCUGGGGCUUGGAGCCACUAUCUGGGUCCAGAGUGACUUCUUCCCUCCCAGCUAAGGGAAAUGUUUACGGGAUUACAGAGAGAUCCUGGCAGAGCUCACUGGAGCUUGGAACCCUCUGCAGCAGUUCUUCAAGGUCUCUUAGAGAUUUGGAAGUAAAAUUAUUGAAGGCCCAAGACACGAUGGUGUGGCACCAGCAGUUUCCUGGGUCGUCUUCUAGCUCAUCUGGGAAAAGAGGACAAUGAUGUCUGUCCUCUCUGAGUUGCAUCUGGGAU
rnacentral:lncRNA from 1 species